rnacentral:lncRNA from 1 species
AUUUUAAUAAAUAAAUAUUAAUAGCUCACAGCUUCAAAAAGAACCAGGUAGCUUGUUGGAGCAGCGAGUGACACACAUUCCCUGG